rnacentral:rRNA from 1 species
GAUUAACGCUAGCGGCAUGCUUAAUACAUGCAAGUUGAACGGCAGCACAGGUAGCAAUACUGGGUGGGGAGUGUAACACGGGUGCGUAACACGUAGGGAACCUACCAAAUACAGGCAAAUAACCUUUAGAAAUCAGGGGUAAUAGGCCGAAGUAUUACAUCUGGCCGUGUAUUGGUAAUUAAAGGUUUAUCGGUUUGGGGUGGUCAUGCGUCCCAUAAGUUAGUUGGUAAGGUAACGGCGUACCAAGACGAUGAUGGGUAGGGGAUCUGAGAGGACUUACCCCCACGCUGGUACUGAGACACGGACCAGACUCCUACGGGAGGCAGCAGUAAGGAAUAUGGGGCAAGGGGCGCAAGGCUGACCAAGCCAUGCAGCGUGCAGGAAGACGGCCUUAUGGGUGGUAAACUGCUUUUAUACGUGAAUAAUAGAGUGUACGCGUACAUUUAUGCCAGUAUCGUAUGAAUAAGCAUCGGCUAACUCCGUG